CUCCAGCUUGCUGGGGGGAUUAGUGGCGAACGGGUGAGUAACACGUGAGUAACCUGCCCUUGACUCUGGGAUAAGCCUGGGAAACUGGGUCUAAUACCGGAUACGACCGUCCCGCGCAUGCGGUGGUGGUGGAAAGCUUUUGCGGUUUUGGAUGGACUCGCGGCCUAUCAGCUUGUUGGUGGGGUAAUGGCCUACCAAGGCGACGACGGGUAGCCGGCCUGAGAGGGUGACCGGCCACACUGGGACUGAGACACGGCCCAGACUCCUACGGGAGGCAGCAGUGGGGAAUAUUGCACAAUGGGCGAAAGCCUGAUGCAGCGACGCCGCGUGAGGGAUGACGGCCUUCGGGUUGUAAACCUCUUUCAGUAGGGAAGAAGCGAAAGUGACGGUACCUGCAGAAGAAGCGCCGGCUAACUACGUGCCAGCAGCCGCGGUAAUACGUAGGGCGCAAGCGUUAUCCGGAAUUAUUGGGCGUAAAGAGCUCGUAGGCGGUUUGUCGCGUCUGCUGUGAAAGACCGGGGCUCAACUCCGGUUCUGCAGUGGGUACGGGCAGACUAGAGUGAUGUAGGGGAGACUGGAAUUCCUGGUGUAGCGGUGAAAUGCGCAGAUAUCAGGAGGAACACCGAUGGCGAAGGCAGGUCUCUGGGCAUUAACUGACGCUGAGGAGCGAAAGCAUGGGGAGCGAACAGGAUUAGAUACCCUGGUAGUCCAUGCCGUAAACGUUGGGCACUAGGUGUGGGGGACAUUCCACGUUUUCCGCGCCGUAGCUAACGCAUUAAGUGCCCCGCCUGGGGAGUACGGCCGCAAGGCUAAAACUCAAAGGAAUUGACGGGNGGCCCGCACAAGCGGCGGAGCAUGCGGAUUAAUUCGAUGCAACGCGAAGAACCUUACCAAGGCUUGACAUGAACCGGUAACGCCUGGAAACAGGUGCCCCGCUUGCGGUCGGUUUACAGGUGGUGCAUGGUUGUCGUCAGCUCGUGUCGUGAGAUGUUGNGGUUAAGUCCCGCAACGAGCGCAACCCUCGUUCUAUGUUGCCAGCGCGUGAUGGCGGGGACUCAUAGGAGACUGCCGGGGUCAACUCGGAGGAAGGUGGGGACGACGUCAAAUCAUCAUGCCCCUUAUGUCUUGGGCUUCACGCAUGCUACAAUGGCCGGUACAAAGGGUUGCGAUACUGUGAGGUGGAGCUAAUCCCAAAAAGCCGGUCUCAGUUCGGAUUGGGGUCUGCAACUCGACCCCAUGAAGUCGGAGUCGCUAGUAAUCGCAGAUCAGCAA
rnacentral:rRNA from 1 species